GGCCAUUUUUGGUAAGCAGAA
rnacentral:snRNA from 1 species